UUUGUAGUAGUUAUAUGUCUCCAGAGUAUGCAAUGCAUGGACGAUUCUCUGUUUAGUCCGAUGUAUUUAGCUUUGGCGUCCUACUUCUAGAGAUUAUCAGUGGUAAAAUGAACAAUUGUUUCUACCAAUCAGAACAUGAUGAGGACCUCUUAAGCUUUAUAUGGAAACAGUGGAAGAAUGGAAACCCCCUUGAAACUGUUGGAUCCAACAUUGAGAGAUUCAUUUUCAAAAAACGAAGUCAUUAGAUGCAUCCAUAUUGGCUUAUUGUGUGUUCAGGAGGAUCCAGCCAGCCGACCAACAAUGGCAACAGUUGUUCUCAUGCUCGACAGUCACUCUGUGAGCCUGCAGUUGCCGCAGCAGCCGGCAUUUUUGUUUCGGAGAAAAGCAAAGAGGAACAUGAAUACAAAGGAAGCAGGGCAUGAUGAUUCUACAACCCAAUCAGUUCCAUAUUCUGUUGAUGACGCAUCGAUCACCCAAAUACACCCUCGAUAGUGUGAGGAAGCGAGGUGUUGUCUGUCUUGGUGUUAUUUGCUACCUAGAAUUUAAACUUUGGUCGAACAUAUGUACAUUCAUAUAUAAACAUAGACGCCCGUUUAAAAGUAGAUGUGCCUAAUAAAAUGCAGAAGUGAAAACAAAUAUAUUUGAAU